GCGCCUGUUUGAAAAGCCCGCUUCCAGAAGGCUUACAGCAGCUUACCGCUCAGCCGCCCAGAAGGCGUACAGCAGUUUGCGGGUUAAACCCAGCCCAGCAGAGACCACUGGGGCAGAGUGCUAGCCUGGGAGCUGUGAUGGCUUGUUAAACCCAGCCCAGCAGAGACCACUGGGGCAGAGUGCCGGCCUGGGAGCUGUGAUGGCUUGUUAAACUCAGCCCAGCAGAGACCACUGGGGCAGAGUGCCAGCCUGGGAGCUGUGAUGGACUUGUUAAACCCACCCCAGCAGAGACCACUGGGGCAGAGUGCCGGCCUGGGAGCUGUGAUGGCUUGUUAAACCCGGCCCAGCAGAGACCACUGGGGCAGAGUGCCGGCCUGGGAGCUGUGAUGGACUUGUUAAACUCGGCCCAGCAGAGACCACUGGGGCAGAGUGCCGGCCUGGGAGCUGUGAUGGCUUGUUAGGGUUGCUGCCCUGAGGGAAUUAAAGGCAGAAUAUGUAAUGGGUCAAGGCAGGAACACUCCAGUGGUGCUUGUCAAGCCUUGUAUUGUUGGCCAGUGGCUGGGUGAUGGACGGGCAAGUGGCUCCAGCAGGGAAGGCUGAGCACUGUGCUGGGGCUGAGGGGAGAUAAAGGCACAGGCAGUACAGCAGUUUGCUGCGUGGAACAUUCUUGGCGGAAACACCCAGAGAAAAAUGACUGAAGAACACAGAAGAAGGAAGACCAGAGAGGGAGGAAGGAAGGCAUGCUGGGCCUCAGAGGUCUGGAGAAGAAUGAAUGAAGAGGAAGAAGAAGGUGCCGGCACUCUACGGGUGAGUGCCCUGCCCACAGGCCUAGAGAGGGGUCGGGUGCCUGCUGGACGCCGCCUGCUAGGGCACCCUUGUCCGAGGCAGCUGCUGCCUGCACCCUCGGCCAGGCCCACAGACACACCACAGCGGGGAUGGAGCUGAGAUGAGACCAGACUCAGCCCUCCAGUGAGCCCAGGAGACCACCAAGUGGACACCCACGCACCUCAUGGCUUGGGGGAGGGUGCAUGGAGGCGGUGGGUGAGUGAAGCAACCCACCCCCAGUGUAUGCUCAGGCCCAGGGUUAUGUCAGGUUAGGAGCUGCCUUGAAAACAGGUCCUUUCUCACUGAUUCUCUCCAUGUUUCCCUUCUUUCCUCUUCUCUUCCUCGUAUACCAUAAAAAUAGUUUAAUCUUUCCUCUUCCUCCUCCUGUCUUCCACUUCUUCCUCCUCCUCUUCGUUUCCCUGUUAUCUCCACUUUUAUCAAGGUCUGUGUAUUUCUCAGGCAUAAUUUUGGUGGUUUUGUUCAUUUCCUCCUCCAAGUUCAACUCGAUUUUUCUCCUCUCCUCCACCUUUUCCUCCUUUCCUCUUAUACCAAAAAAUAGCUUAAUCUUUCCUCUUCCUCCUCCUGUCUUCCUCUUCUUCCUCCUCCUCUUCGUUUCUCUGUUAUCUCCACUUUCAUCAAGGUCUGUGUAUUUCUCAGGCAUUAUUUUGGUGAUUUUAUUAAUUUCCUCCUCCAAGUUCAAGUCCAUUUUUCCUUCCUCGCUUCCUCCUUUCCUCCUAUGCCAAAAAAUAGUUUAAUCUUUCCUCUUCCUUCUCCUGUCUUCCUCCUCCUCUUCAUUUCCCUGUUAUCUCCACUUUUAUCAAGGUCUGUGUCUUUGAAAACUUUGCAGAAUGGACAAAGAAAACACCAGAAAUUGCUUGAAUAUUUAUUGAGCAAACUGACACUUCUUGCAGAGAGA